CAUCAGUUCGCCCCGGGGGAUAAAGGUUUCGGGAAUGUGGCUCCUCCGGGAGUGUUAUAGCCCGUUGCGUAAUACCCUGGGACGGACUGAGGUUCGCGCUCUGCAAGGAUGCUGGCGUAAUGGUCAUCA
rnacentral:rRNA from 1 species